ACAGGGCCUCACUCUGUCACUCAGGCUGGAGUGAAGUGGUGCAAUCACAGUUCACUGAAACCUUGAACUCCUGGGUACAAGGAAUCCUCCUGUCUGGAACUACAGGAAGAAGAUGAUUUUUCACCUAGUGGAGUCAUUGAACAGUGGUCUUCAAAUUGGGAUUAUUUCCAAGAAUAGAUUAAAAUGCCAUGAAAAAGAAAAAAUUAUAGAAAAGCAAAAAGAGCUGAAUGCAGUGAAUGAACAUCUGUGAAUGAAGUUGAGAAGGUAUAUGUGGGGCAGACUAGAAUUGCAGUGCACAGAUACAAGAAUGUUGCCUGCUUUGGAGCCAAGACUGCCUUCCGGAUAAAGGGCCCACAGAGAGCUGAGAGCUGUGUAAUACCUCAAAGACUGAAGAAAAGAGUUAGACAGCCAUCUUUCCUUAGAGGAUUUUGCUGCAGACAGCUUGAACUACCAGAAGGUUAUAUACUGACCAUGGGUAGAGUAAGGAAGAAAUACAUCCUUCGGAAAGGACAAUGAAGAUCUUUACAGCAGGGAGGUGAGGACAAAGUGAUUCUCCCUUCUGGAGGAUGCAGCAAAGUGCUGCCUGCCAUCUUGGAAGCACAGAGUAGCCUUCACCACACUCUAAUCCCAUCAGAGCCUUGAUCUUGGACUUGCCAGCCUUCAGAACAGUCUUGCCUCAUCACUGCCAUGACAGGGGGGUCCAAUGUGAGGAUUCUGGUGUCUAUGCCAAGCAUCUCUUUUCCAACGUAGAUCUGAUUUCUUAACAUAGCCAACAGCAAGUCAACAUCAGCUUUGCAGAGAAAAGCAGGGAUGCGUGUGCACAAAGAAAAGGCCAUGUGAGGACAUAGCAAGAGGGAAGCUGUCCGCAAGCCAAGGAAAAAGGCCUCAGGAGAAACCAAAUCUGCCAAUACAUUGAUCUUGGACUUCCAGCAUUCAGAAAUGGAGACUUGUAUUUUCUGACAUUCAACUUAAUCGAAGAAUAAAGCUUUAACAGUGGCAUCAGUGACAUGAUGAAUGAUGCAUCAUUUUGAAGUAAUAAUGGUUUUCCCAGUGACUCAGAAAUAGCAGUAUGUUCAGAUUCAGUGUGCCUGUUCAUGAGAGCUCUGCAGAAAUUGCACAUCUGGCUCUUUGCCUGUGCACCUGAAGUUAUCUCAGGAGAAAUUAUACAAAUUAAAUACAGACACAGAGAAGGUCUUUUUUAAUUCAAAGGAAAAGAAUAUAUAUUCAAGAAAAGCAAAAAAGGUAAGAGAAAAGGUAAGGGACUGUAGUGAUAUUAAGCUAGGAAACUAACAAAAUGAUGACAAUAUAAAAUAAAUGAUGUGAAAAGAACAACAAAAACAAUAUAAAGUAGAAAUGAAAAUAUAUUGUGUUGGCUCAGGAAAAUAUUUAAAUUACUUUCUUUCUUCUAUUCCAUAGGUGGAAGUUGGGCCUUUGGUCAUUAAUUCUCUCUCUCUCUCUUGCUAAUUUUUGCAAAUAGGGAGAACUUGGAACAUCUGCCAAAAUUUUUAUUUUGUGCUUUAUUUUGGCUACCUGUUUAUUCCAUAGAACUAUGACUUGUCCUGGUGAUUCAGGCUUACUCCUUAAUUUCUGAACUGAUUGCCAGAGAGUCAGGGAUAUACACAUACAUUAUAUAUACACACACACACACACACACACACACACACACACACACACACAUAUAUAUAUACACACACAUACAUAUAUAUAUAUACACACACAUACAUAUACAUAUAUGGGAGAUUAUAUCUAUAUCUAUAUCUAUGUCUAUCCCUCCCAUGUUAUUUCCUGCUUUUCUACUACUUGUUCCACUUUCCCCAGGUCUUUUGAAACUAAAAAUAAAAUUAUCACCUCACUGUAAGUAUCAUGUCUUCUGCUUCAGGGGUUGCACACUGCUUCAAGGUAGUAAUUGUUAAUUAUUCAAGACUGACUUCUUGUAAAGUAAUCUUCUAGAAAGACAGCUGGACUUUUAAGACUUCAUGAACUCUAAAGAUAUGGCAGGCCAGGAUCCAAGGCCAAAGGUAUAAUACCUCCAAAAGCUACGGUUAUGAGUCUUGGAAGUCAGCCCUUGGUUGUAUCAGAGGAAAUACAGUUCUCUCUAACCAUGAAUGCUGAAGAGGAAGAAUCAAGCUGGAGGCUAGGAUUAUGCCAUAUCAUACUGCUUUUGGAUCUCAGCACACAGGAUGCCAGGGGAGGGUAAUGUUCUUACCAUGAAGCUUGUCAUCAGAGGUCCAAAAGAAGAGAGCCACAAAAUGUGUACUGUUCAAUGUUGUGUGCACAUCUAGCAUGAAACAUCUUUUGCAUCAGUGACCAAUCUGAGUACUUACAUCUUAACUCUAAGGCACACACUAAAAUACAUAAUGCCUGGUUGUUCCUAGAUACUUACUUGGUAUAAAAUUUAAUUUUUUCUAAAAAUGAUCUUAUAUGGUAGCUUUUUUUUUUGAGACGGAGUUUCGCUCUUGUUGCCCAGGCUGGAGGGCAAUGGCAUGACCUCAGCUCACUGCAACCUCCAUCUCCCGGGUUCAAGCAAUUCUCCUGCUUCAGCCUCCAGAGUAGCUGGGAUCACAGGCGCCCAUCACCAUGCCCAGCUAAUUUUUUGUAUUUUUAGUAGAGACAGGGUUUCCCCAUGUUGGCCAGGCUGGUCUUGAACUCCUGACCUCAGGUGAUCCACCUGCCUCUGCCUCCCAAAGUUCUGGGAUUACAGGCGUGAGCCACCACGCCCGGUCAUAUGUAGCUCUUUACUGUCUUUACAGCAUGAUAGCUGCUUAAUACAUAUUCAAUAUUCAUUGAAUUAUAACAUUCACUGAAUUGCAAUAUUUUUUCUCAUUGUUCACUCUGUUUUCCGAUUUUUCACAUACCCAUCCACAUCCCCAAUGCUCACAACUAGCCGCAACAUGAAUACUUUAAAUCAAUGAAGUCCCUGAAAUAAAAAAUUAUGAAUAAUCAUUAUUUUUGUCGUUUUUGUCAUUGUUUACAUCUAGUGAGACAGAAUUCUUUAUUACCAAAUUCUGUUCACGUUAUAGCCACUUCCUUCUCUGAAACUUCAUUAUCACCAUUAUAGCUUCUGGUAUGAUCAGCUAAUCUCACCAUUACAAAAGUCACUUACCUGAUCCUCCUGAAAAGUGUCUUGACCUAACCCUAAUACAAAGCAUUAAUUUUUUAAGUUUUCUUUUAUGGGAAAUUAUUUACAUUUAAUUAUAACACACAUAUAGUAAAAUGUACAUAUCAUCAAUACACACUUCCACGAAGUUUAACAAAAUGAAUUAAUACAUAUAACCACCAUAGAUCAAAUAAAAUAUUUAAACUUUCAGAUAGCCAUACUAAUGGCCUAAAUGCAAAUCUCUCUGCAUAGUAUUUCAAAAACUGUAGAGAUGAACCGCAAGAACAAAAUGAACACACAUUCUACAUCUUCA
rnacentral:lncRNA from 1 species